CCGGUAUGUAGCACGGCCGCAGAUAUGAGAUAACGAAUGUGACUCCGAGACACGGUCUUAGAAGAUACGGUACGCGAUACGGUAAUUUUCGAUGUCUAUUGAGAUUUUCUGGCAAAACCGAACGGCGUUCACCGUCGGACACCAAAUACUGGAUAUCACUAUAGUUGAUUGGGCAGAUUUUUUUUUUUUUUUUUUUUGCUAGGCAUUUUACCUAUAUACCAUAUUUACUCCGUUAAUCUUAAUAAUGCAAAUAAUUUUUAUGAAUUCGUGAACUCGUAAACAGACGGUAUUUACGAAUAAAAUAACUAUUAUAGUUUGCCGAUCAAAUGGGCGAGUAGUCAAACCCGAGGGAUGCCAUUUUUAUUAAACCUCGAUACAUAUCGACGGUGUUUUGUUAAGUCUAUCAAAUUCAGAAGCAAAUAACAAACAGAAAAACAUUUUUUUUUUUUCUAAUGUUAUUUACUAUGGAAAACAAUAAAACUAUUCGUACACGUCAUAAUACUUUAGUAUACACGCACUGAACGUGGUAUAUUCGUCCUCUUAACAGAUCAGUGUUGAUUUAAUUAUAUUUCAAAGGGGCGCCCGGAUAUAUUUUAGUCGACGUUACCAACCUAAUUUUCCGUAUUUAAAUACGCCCUUUUACCAGUUUAUGUUCCUAAUUUUUCUGUUUUUUUUUUUUUUUUUUUCAUACCGAAAACGUAUGUUUCGGUUUUUAAUGGUAUACGCCCUUUUAACAAAAACCAUCGACACACGCAAGAUUUAUAAUUCCAAUCGAAUGCAGAAUAUCGUAUAUCGGUGUACGUUCUAGUCCAUAGAAUUAGAUUGAUAACUUUACUGAUU